CACGUAGGGUGCGAGCGUUGUCCGGAAUUAUUGGGCGUAAAGAGCUCGUAGGCGGUGUGUCGCGUCGGCCGUGAAAAACCUGCAGCUUAACUGUGGGCUUGCGGUCGAUACGGGCAUCACUGGAGUUCGGCAGGGAGACUGGAAUUCCUGGUGUAGCGGUGAAAUGCGCAGAUAUCAGGAGGAACACCGGUGGCGAAGGCG
rnacentral:rRNA from 1 species